GACCAGUUUCUUCUCCACUGCUUGGGUGUCCACAAUAUUUCUGGGGCAGAGUGAACGCCUACGAAGAAGUCUGUCCAUUCGUUUGUUCACUCAUUCAUUCCCUCAACAAGCACACAUUGACCUCUCUUCUGUGUCCAGAUGCUGAGGACAUGAAAAAUCAGACUUGGCUCCUGACCUGGAGCUGCAGGGAUAGGCAGGGCUCAGGGGCCACGGACCUAAAGAACUGGGACGAAGGGAAGGUCCGCCAGGGCUUUGCCACCAGGUGAAAGUUUCCUCACUAGUGCGGGGCAUUUCUGGAGGACACCACUGGGCAGAGCUGGAAAAGGAGGGGCCAGCAGGUGCCUGGACCUGGAUGGGGCGGGGCUGGCCACUUCCCUUUCCUUUGGAUUCCACUUACAGCACAGGGACUUCCGGUUACUGGAGAGGAAGUUGACAAUAAACGGAGAAGCCCACAAAAACCUAUAACGGCCCCAUUGUGAUAAGGAUCAUG